UACGGGGGGGGCAAGCGUUGUUCGGAAUUACUGGGCGUAAAGGGCUCGUAGGCGGCCAACUAAGUCGGAUGUGAAAUCCCCAGGCUUAACCUGGGAAUUGCAUCCGAUACUGGAUGGCUUGAAUCCGGGAGAGGGAUGCGGAAUUCCAGGUGUAGCGGUGAAAUGCGUAGAUAUCGAGAGGAACACCUGCGGCGAAGGCGGGUUGCUGGGCUGACACUGACGCUGAGGCGCGAAAGCUAGGGGAGCGAACGGG
rnacentral:rRNA from 1 species